GAUGAACGCUGGCGGCGUGCCUAAUACAUGCAAGUCGAGCGAACAGACGAGGAGCUUGCUCCUCUGACGUUAGCGGCGGACGGGUGAGUAACACGUGGAUAACCUACCUAUAAGACUGGGAUAACUUCGGGAAACCGGAGCUAAUACCGGAUAAUAUAUUGAACCGCAUGGUUCAAUAGUGAAAGACGGUUUUGCUGUCACUUAUAGAUGGAUCCGCGCCGCAUUAGCUAGUUGGUAAGGUAACGGCUUACCAAGGCGACGAUGCGUAGCCGACCUGAGAGGGUGAUCGGCCACACUGGAACUGAGACACGGUCCAGACUCCUACGGGAGGCAGCAGUAGGGAAUCUUCCGCAAUGGGCGAAAGCUUGACGGAGCCACGCCGCGUGAGUGAUGAAGGUCUUCGGAUCGUAAAACUCUUUUAUUAGGGAAGAACAAAUGUGUAAGUAACUAUGCACGUCUUGACGGUACCUAAUCAGAAAGCCCCGGCUAACUACGUG
rnacentral:rRNA from 1 species